rnacentral:lncRNA from 1 species
CGCCCACACCGGCCGCAGGACCCGCCUCCCAUAGGGCCGCGGGGCUGUCAAUCCGCCCCCAAAAGGCGCGCGGGCUGUGGCCCCGCCGGUCCCCAUUGGUGGCCGCGCGCGGUCUAUGCAAAUGAGGCCCCGCCCCGUCGGUUUGCAUCCCCGCCCCUCCGCUGCCGCGGCCCACGUGUCUGGCCCCUGGCCUUUGUGGGGGCCGGAGAGCGGGGAUGGAGGAAGCCGGCCGACACCUCUCGGCGGCGUCCUUGGCCUCCAGACUAAGCGCCGCCAAGUCUCUGCCCCGCCUGCUGCCCACCCAGCCCGCCCUUCACCAGCCUGGACCCCGGACAGCAACCUCGUGAGCUCGAAGAUGCUCCUUAGACCCCGGGAAAAGCCAAAACAGCACCUCGCUGCUCUCUCGGGACGCCCGAGCGCGUUUGAGUGCCCGCCUGCUGUGUGUCUGCGCACUGCGUGGGUGCGGUGGCCCGCAGAGGCCGGAAGAGGGCGUCGGAUCUCCCAGGACUGGAGCUGUGAGCUGCCAAGGGCGUGCUGCGGGUGCCACCCAGGUCCUCUGAGAGAGGGCCGACCUCUGCAGAAAAGACAAAACUGACACAGGAACCUCCUCUUGAGCAGGGGUCCUGUCUCAGUGACGGGAAACUUCCCCUUAACCAGCCUCCCAGGGGAGCCACAAGCUGCUCACAUGAAUUCGGUCAACAGCGCCAUGUGGAUAGCAACCGUCCUGCUCACUGAUGCCAGCUGGUUUUGCAUCUAGUGGGCAAGAACUGCACCCUGUGUGGAGGAGGGCGCACGGAGGUGAGAAGGCACCGUACCAGCCCGUGACAGCUCCGGGCUCACAGGCAGGGACAUCCACACUUGAGUAACCCCCAGUUAGUUCUGUGGCACGUGUCUACAAAGAAGAGUGAAGAAGGGCUCUCCCAGAAGGUGGGAAGCUGUGAGCUCACAAAGCAUGCAGACCUGGAACGGCUUAGGAACUGAGUGAACAGCUAGGGGCAGUGUGGGCCAAUCUGCAGGGUUGUGUGGACUUGUCACAUGUUCCGAGAGGAGACUCUUCCAGGAGGAAGAAAAGCCCGGGAGGCUGCCAGGCCAUGUUGUAACACACCACAGCAAACAACAACAGGCGCUGUAGAUACAGCAGCUGCCGGCUUUUUUUUUUUUUUUUUUUUCUUCUGGGCCAGAGUAUGUGGGGGAACAGUCAGUUCUACAGUUCCGAAGACAGCCUGGCUAGCCCCACCCACUCCCCCAGAAAAACCACUCUGGCCACCAGACUUACCCUCCUCGGCAUUUUCCCUAAGCACUGAUGUCCUCGUUGUGGCUGGAGAAGUCCUGACCUGAAGCAGCGAGCAGUUCUUUGCCACGCUUAUCACUAAGGCUGGCUUCUCGGGUGUUCAUGCAAUCCAGCCUGGCCUCAAACUUGCUGUGUAGCUGAAGAUGUCCUUAAAUUCCUAAUCCUCAGCCAGGUGGUAGUGGUGCUCACGCCUUUAGUCCCAGCACUCGGGAGGCAGAAGCAGUUGGAUCUCUGCGAGUUUGAGACCAGCCUGGUCUACAAGAACUAGUUCCAGGACAGCCUCCAAAGCUACACAGAGAAACCCUGUCUUGAAAAACAAAAAACAAAAACUUUCUAACCCUCUAGUCUCCAUCUCCCAGGGGCACAUCAUCAUGCCUGGCUGGCCCUGGGAGUUUAGUAUCCGACUGUGUUCUAGUCAGGACAGUUAAGCAAGAAACACAUAGAGUGAGGUAUAGAUUGAAAAAGUAAACUUGGGCUGCUGUCCCCAUCUGCAAGCUUUGGGACCGACCUGACUGGGGUGAAAAGAAAGAAAAGGCUGGGGGUCAGGGGGGCCUCGUGUUCGGAUGAAGAUGCAACAGCAGCCCAAAACUCCUGUUUAUAUACAGCUCAUUGAGGAGGUGGGCUCAUUAUGUACAGCUGGUCUACUGUAUGCAGGCUGUCUCAGUAGGGCUCUCCACAGAGGAGCCAUCUCAGGCUGCAAUCAGUGGGAGAAGAAGGCUGUGUGGUUGACACUUUCUGCACAACUGUCAACACCUGGGCUUUAGCCAGGGGAAGACUGCCAUUCCCAUGGGUCCAAGGCCCUGGUGUCCUUUAUAUGGAUAUGCUCAUGUCAUUAGCACACAUUCACUCAGGACUUCACCCACUCCCCACAGGCUGUGGUGGUAUGGUGUGGCUCAUUUGGCAGAGUGCCAGUCUACCAUGCACAGAGCCCCGAGUUUGACCCACAGCACUGAAUAAAUAGGAUAGAGGCACUCGUCUGCAAUCCCGAAACUUGAGGAGUGGAGUCAGGGGGAUCAGAAGUUCGAGGUCAUCCUUGGCUAUUCAGUAAGGUAAAAACCAGUGUGGGAGCUAGAGAGAUGUCCUAGUGGUUGAGAGCACUGACUGCCCUUCCAGCCCCAGGUUCAAUUCCCAGCAGCUCACGACUGUCCUGUAACUCCAAUUCUAGAGGACCCAACACCCUCACACAGACAUACAUGCAGGCAAAACACCAAUGCACAUGAAAAAACAAAACAAACAAAAAACACUCCAAUCUGAGCUACAGACCCUGUUUCUGAAAGAAAGAACAGAAGGAAAGGGGGGAAGGAAGAAAGGAAGGAAGGAAGGAAGGAAGGAAGGAAGGAAGGAGAGAAGAUAGGUUGUCUUUUCUCAGAUGUAUGAUAUACUGUGCACCAAACUCGAACAAGCAUCAGAGCAAAAACACCCAGCAAGACUUUAGGACACAAACUCACUAACUAGCAGUUGUGUUUCUGUGUGCCUGAAUUGAACAAUGCAAAAUAAAAUUCAAAAUCUUAAAAAAAAAUAACUCCCAGUUUUGAUGCAUUAAAACCAGCAAAUAACAUCUUAUUUUUGUAGUACACUGAACUCAAGGCCUUGUCCGUGCUAGACCUCUCCCACCUAGCCAGAUCCCAGAACAGCACACUUCUGAAUGCACUCAACAAGAGAAGUCUAAAACUUACACGGUGAACAUUGGCAUCAUUGAAAGAAACUGAAGACCUAACAGUCCUGGGUUCAACCCCCAGUAAUACACACACAAUAAACAAAUAAAUAAAAUAUCCUUUGAGUGUUACUGAGGUGACCAUGGAGAUGACUAAUUAACUCUUUAGGAAUUGGGCCUCCAAUUAACAAGGCACCAGUUCUAGUUCCUCCAGUUUGGUUAAAGGAGACAGGGUCUAAGGGAAAAGGGAGUAAGUGUGCCAAGGACUCAGACAUGAGUCUCAUCAGAGGCACCCAGUAACCUAGUACAGUUCAACCUGUCUCUUCACAAUGCCAUGGCUCAUUGUCCCAAGGCCCAAUAUUCCUGAGUCCCAAAGUCUCCACAAGUAAAGUCUCCACAAGUAAAGUCCCAAAGUCUCCACAGGCCCAGAUCACAAAGGGCUUUGUCACGUGACGUUUCUCAUCCUCUGCAGAUGUUUAGACUGCAGAAGCAAGUCAUCCAGGGAAAUCCAAGUCACCUCCAGUGUGGGGGUGGCAUGGUAACCAGCUAUGUUUCUUUGGCUGUGACAAG